GUUUCACAUCCUCGGCAUCUGUGUUUUGUAUGUGUGUAUAAUUUGCAUAACUUUGUUAGUUUGUACUUAAAGUAUCGAAUAGCCUGUAUAGGCUAACACAACUGUUUUGCCCAGCUUGUAGUGGAAAGCCAUUUCGUCCAGUUAAUGCUUAAACAAUACCUUAAUUUUUAAAUUAUCACAAAGUACUCUGCAUAUACAUUUUUGCUCAGUGUGUCAUUAGACCACGUACAUUCAUUCUAAAGUAAAAUGUCAGUUAGACAUCCUGGCAUUAUAAAAUAACAGAUGUUACCGUGCACUAUCAUUUUACAUAUAAGGACAAAGUGAUUUUGCACAAAGUACACAAGUUCCAAACUCUUAACUCGGUAAAGUUUAAAGUUAGUCAAGGCAGUUGUGGCAGCUUAGCUAUUUGUUACCAGUUAGUGUCCACUAAGGAACCUGCUUAAAGCAAUGAGUUGUUGCAUAUUUUUCUGACUUAAAUAGAUUAACUAACUGACAUAAAAUGCUGCAGCGUCAAUUUUGUGAUCAUGGUUUUGAAACAAUAUUGCUGUUUUGUCAGCACAUUAAAAUUUACAGUUAUGUUCCUGUUAUUUUAUAGAUCAUGUAUCCAUCUACCUUACAAAAAGUGAAUCACGCCAGGAAAACAUCUUAGUACAUUCCUAUUAAACUUUAGAAGCACUGAUUUAUUAUUCAGGAAACAAUAUAAGGAAACAAAAGCUGAAAUCGGAACAAAAUAUAUUCUCUGAUUUAUUUUCCAAUGGCAGAUACAUUUAUGAGAAUAGUGUGUUAAUACUGAUUCAGAAUCGUUAGGCUUAAUCUUACAUGAAGUUGCCAAUUGACUUGGAUCAAGAAAGCAAAAACCCGAGAUUCUUGCUGUUUGUGUCAUGCGUGCAAUCCUGUUACUUGUCUGUAGGUCAAGCAUUGACCACAUGUCGUUAGUUUAGCUGUGCAGGAUUUUAAAUGCUUAGGUCAAGUACCAGAGCAGGAGACAGUGUCGGCUAACACUACAUUUGGUGGAUCUGUUGCAAAUUUUAGCAGGAGUAGCAACUUUUGUAGAUAUUGUGACUGUCAAACAUUCCAGUCACAGAACAGAAAUGAUGGUGUUUGUAUCUGGGAAAAUUCAGUCGAUUCUCAUUCAUGGCAAUUCCAAUGUACAGUACAUGUUGUCACAAAAAUCUUUCUUGUAGACCAAGGAGUUCACUGAUUGACAUCACAAAAUUUGGGUCACUUAUGCAUUAAUCAAAAUAAUCUGCCUGCCUUGUGUAGUCUGACUAUAAUGGUUCUUCGUCAUUCUUUUCCAGUACUAGAAUGAUGUCUGAGUUACAAAAAUAGAUCAAGCAAACCUUACUGUGAGUAAUACCAAACCUACCUGAGGAGCCACUCAAUCAGUCAGUUGAGAAAUGUGUAGGCUGAGGAGUAGAAGAUUUAAUGUACGUGAAAGAAGAGGAUUUCUUAAGAGUUCAUACAACCUGUCCAGUGCCAAACUGUUCAGCGCCUGGAAAGAUCAUGGUAAGUCUGACAAUAAGCUAAUUAUAUUGUUUGUUGUGACACUCUUGAACUGAGAUUUCAUUACAUUUUUCAGAACAAAGAAGCAGCAUUUUGGUUCAGUAAUUAGUUUGACCUAGGUGGUCUCAAAAUUCACCACAAAUGCGCUCCUCAGUAAGAAAAUGGAUGGACUCGCGCUUCAAGCAGAUGCGAGUUAAAUAUUUUUUGAAAAUCCUAUGCAUGAUUGCAUGCGUGACUUAUAUGUUGUAAUGUCUGCUUGAAUGUGUUGUCAAUUUUUGUUUUCUUUUACUUCAGGCAUUUGCCACUUCAGCAGAUGUCCAAGGAACACUCAACUUGCCUUACAGUCCUUGAAUUAUAAUUUUUGGUCAAACUCCAAUGCUCACCAUCCACUGCUGGUUGCUUAAAGGUCACGUUGUAUGUGAGGGAACACAACUCGGCUUUGUCUGUGGCCGUGCUGCUGCGUUUGCUUCAUGUUAUGAUUUCAACCUCCAAUAUAGGAAGAGACUGCAAGCACCCUUGAUUUUGUUCAAAGAUAAUAUUGACAUGAACCCUGAACAAAUGUUCAAGGCCAUUCAAGGAAAAGCUACAUCCAAGAGGACUAGCCAAGUAUAACAAGAACACAGUAAACCCCCAUUUUUCCUAUACACUUUGUAAGAUAAUGGACUUUGAAUGGAAUUUGGUCUGAGUUCAUCCAAGACC